rnacentral:rRNA from 1 species
ACUAACGCUGGCGGCGCGCCUAAUACAUGCAAGUCGAACGAUGUAGCAAUACAUAGUGGCGCACGGGAGAGUAACACGUGGAUAAUCUCCCCUCGAGAGAAGAAUAACUAGUCGAAAGAUUGGCUAAUACUUCAUAAGACCACAGAGACUAAUGUCUCAGAGGUAAAAGUAGUAAUACGCUUGAGGAUGAGUCUGCGUCCCAUUAGCUAGUUGGUGAGGUAACGGCUCACCAAGGCGACGAUGGGUAGCUGGUCUGAGAGGAUGAGCAGCCCCACUGGAACUGACAUACGGUCCAGACUCCUACGGGAGGCAGCAGUAGGGAAUAUUGCACAAUGGAGGAAACUCUGAUGCAGCGACGCCGCGUGAGUGAUGAAGGACUUCGGGUUGUAAAGCGCUGUUGUCAGGGAAUAAAAAAAUGAAUGUACCUGACGAGAAAGGACCGGCUAACUUCGU